GAUGAACGCUGGCGGCGUGCCUAAUACAUGCCAGUCGAGCGAACAGAUGAGGAGCUUGCUCCUCUGACGUUAGCGGCGGACGGGUGAGUAACACGUGGAUAACCUACCUAUAAGACUGGGAUAACUUCGGGAAACCGGAGCUAAUACCGGAUAAUAUAUUGAACCGCAUGGUUCAAUAGUGAAAGACGGUUUUGCUGUCACUUAUAGAUGGAUCCACGCCGCAUUAGCUAGUUGGUAAGGUAACGGCUUACCAAGGCAACGAUGCGUAGCCGACCUGAGAGGGUGAUCGGCCACACUGGAACUGAGACACGGUCCAGACUCCUACGGGAGGCAGCAGUAGGGAAUCUUCCGCAAUGGGCGAAAGCUUGACGGAGCAACGCCGCGUGAGUGAUGAAGGUCUUCGGAUCGUAAAACUCUGUUAUUAGGGAAGAACAAAUGUGUAAGUAACUAUGCACGUCUUGACGGUACCUAAUCAGAAAGCCACGGCUAACUACGUG
rnacentral:rRNA from 1 species